UACGUAGGUGGCAAGCGUUGUCCGGAAUUAUUGGGCGUAAAGCGUACGCAGACGGUGAGAAAGGUCGGAUGUGAAAGCCCCGGGCUCAACCCGGGAACUGCAUCCGAAACCAUCUCGCUAGAGUAUGGGAGAGGGAAGCGGAAUUCCUGGUGUAGAGGUGAAAUUCGUAGAUAUCAGGAGGAACAUCUGCGGCGAAGGCGGCUUCCUGGCCCAUUACUGACGUUCAGGUACGAAAGCGUGGGUAGCAAACAGG
rnacentral:rRNA from 1 species